CCUUUUUUAAUACUUCAGAAACUUAUUAUGCUUUAAAAUUAUUGGUCUGGUUUAAAAAUUCACGCAUUAUUGUAAAACAGAGUAAAACAAAAUGUUUGGCUCUCACAGAAAUACAUUUUAAAAUAUGUGACUUUUUUGGCUCUCUCUACUGAAAACGUUUUCGACCCCUGGUUAAGACAAUUAAUUUUUAAUACUUUUUUUGUUCAAAUUCUAGUGACAUUCAAAGCCAGUGCUGUUCUUCUAGUUGUUCUUUCGGAGCUUUUUAAAGAACUGUUAUGACAUCAGUUUUUGAUAACAAUAAUCAUUGUGAAACAAUCAUAUUGAUAUAAAUUCAUUUUCUUAUAAACAGUCUCAAAGAUACAACUAUAAAAAUAAUGGUGAUAUAAUUUUAUUGUAAUGAUGAACUAUGAUGAAAAGUGUAGUAAGUUUUUUUUAUUUUUGUCAGGUUUACUGGUUUGUUAGUUUGCACCUUCUCUUUUACUGAUGUCCUCUGACCCAAGACAUGAAUCACCAUAGUCAGUUGAACUGAUGUAAUAGAAUGUAACAGAAUAGACCACAGACAGAUAUCUUGUCCCCACGGUAUGUUCUUUUCAAAUGGUGACGCAGCUGUGACGCUGGUAUAAAGACACAGAUAUUAUUACUCUUAGCUGCUCUCCUGUUGUGUCAUAAGCAGCAUCUCUUACGUAAAGAAGAUAUUCACAGGUUUCUGCAUUGUUUAAAAAAAUAAAACUUUUUUUCCUUUCUUACUUUAUGUAGAGUCAUAAUUCAGAGGAAUAACACAGAAGAAUUCCUUAACAGAUGCCAAGCUUGUGUGAAGUUAUCUGACCUAGCCUUUUUUUGUCUUGGGUUGUUCAGAGUUUUUUGAGGCACUUAUUCUCCCUUAGAUUUGUUUUAGCAGCAGUUUGUUUUUCUUUGUCCUUUAUAGUGGAGUUGACACGUCAACAGUCUCUGUGGGAACCUGUCCUGCUUCUAAACCUUGUUCUUGUGCUUAUUGUGAAGAGAUAGAGCUUCUGCAUUUGGACUGGUUUAUCUGAAGAAUAGUCAGAUUAGCUGUACGUUGCCCAAAGGCACUGAAUCACUGGUGUAUACGAAAGAUAGACUGUUGAGUUUGUUGAAACAAAGGCUGCAGAUUUUCAACUCUUACAUGAAACAGAAACAACCUGAAAGUCUUCCAAGUUCCUUGAAUGUUCUAGAAUGGUCAGGGGUGAUCUGAAAUCUGUUUUUACGGUCUAGAGCUUGCUCUGUGAGGAAUGGUCUGAAAUUGGUCACCAAGGAUGCCAGGAGUGCUCCAACUCAAUACAAGACUUUCUUUUUAUAGAAGAUAUAUAUAAAUAAAUAAAUAAAUAUUUUGGACAUUUAUUAAAUGUUGUUUUGUGUUUUAUCUAAUUAUAAGAUAAUUAAUCUGUUAUCGUUAGAAGAACUCCCAGAUCAUGCGAUUCUGGAUUAAGGUUAUCUGUAGAAAUAAAUUGAGAUUAAAGAAACCUAUGAAAUGCAAUGAAGUAUAAUGGCCGUAUAUGUUCAUGUGUAUAAAGCCACCGUGUCUCUGUGAUUGUGAUUUAUGUUAAAUGACAAAAAAUCCACCUAUAAAACCUUUGUAAAACCUUAGAGUAAACAGAAAGUUUGGUGUAUUUUUUGUGCCUGAGAAAAUUGAAACAUUAUCCAUGUCUUAACCUCAGGAUUAUUUUAAACCCUGUGCUAUUGUGUUCAACAUUGUGAGUGACAAGAGUCAUGUCAGAGCGUUUCUUUUGGGUGAAUGUAACAAUAGGCACAGUGUACCUUGAUAACCGUCUGUCGCAAUAGACCUGAAUGUUAAGGUAUGCGAUGUUGUAGAGCAGCAUACUGCAGUCUUGCUGUGUGAAUCUCCAGAAACAAAGCUAUGCAGUCACAUGUAAAAUAUCUUCUGUGGAAUUUGCAGUGUCAAGAACACCAGGUUUGUGAGUAAAAGGAAGAACUGUGCUGUACAGAACAAGAUGUUUUGAAAAUUAUGACAAAUGAAACCAAGAUGUAAUUCCCCUACAAAUAAUCAGCCAGGCUACACUUCCUUCAUCUCUGAAUCAUUGUCGUGCAAAACUCACUCCAACUUCACAUGACCUCACAAACUAUUGAGCUUCAGUCUGUAAUAUAAUCUGCCACGGCUUUUCAUCAUAUUUUUAAGGAGAAAACCAGGGUGGUUUGUUGGUAAACUUUUGUAGCUAAUGGUUACCUGUUUUGGGCUAACAUUUUUUUUUCUUUUCAGAAAUCACCCUUACCAUUAAGUUAAAUGAUUUGUAGUCUUUUGACAAAUAGUCCUCCUGUGAAACCUUUCUCAAACACUUAAAGCCGCUAAAACGAUCACAAAAAUCACAGUAUGGUCUGGAAGUCUGAUUCUUUAUAGGAAUCUGUGGCAGCGAACUAUUUAUAUACAAGUUGUUCUUCCUGAAAACUUUGUUCUGUUUGCCCAAGGCUGGGCAACAUAUGUAGAGUCACAAACAGAUCCGGCUCAUCCACUGUGUGCAGAUAACUUGACAUUUUUGUUGAGAUCCUAUUACCAACUCUCACCCUCCCAUUAAUGACUGUUGGCUUGUCUUGGCAACAGUACGACAUAAUUAGACCCACCGGACGGGUCCGACCAGCCACACGUGCUUGAAGGAAUUCAUGCAUUGACGCAAGUAAAUGCUGAACCCAGACAAAAAUAAUACACAUCUCGGGACUAUGUAUGAGUUGUUGGUUUAACAAGGUUCAACUGAAAAGAUUGAUGCAGAAAUCAUGCCCCGCUGAAGUGUGAAGUUUUUUGUUCUAUUUUAUUCUAAAGCUGCUUUGCAUGUUUGAAAGGAUUUGCAUUAAAAAAAAUAAAGCUGACAGUUUUUCCAACAAAUUUUGCAAAAGCGUCAGCAACACAGUGGAGUCUUGUGUUGGGACAAUUUACAUAACCUAUCCCAUGCAGUUGCCAUGCACCUCGCUCCAAACACAGUAUAGAAAGACUCAUUUGUUAUAGGUUUGUUGCUAAAAUCAGAAUUAGUCAAAUCUCUUCAUCUAAGUCAUUUCCAUGUUGUUCCCCUUCAACCAGAGCUUUUACAGUAAAGCUGACUCCGGACUACAUAGUAAACCAUUAGAAGAACCAAGAACACAUUUGCCAUUGAAAUUAGCAUUUGGCUGAUUAGACAUUGAGUAUGGUCAUCAUUGGGUAAAAGUCAUCAACAACCUUCUUGUUUUCUGCUGUGUGAAAAUGGCUGCAGGUACUAUUUAACUGCUGUCUGAUAUCAAAUGAUUAUAAAUAUAGAAUGGCAAAGACUGUAGGUUGUCCUAAUUAGCAUUUAGGCCAAGCCACAGACAGCUAAAAGAUCAACAAAUAAUCUAUGGGUUAUUGCUAGGGCAUCCUAAACAAAUAAGAAAAAUGAUUUUGGCUAAACCUUAGACACAAUGGAAGUUUUGACCUUUGUCCAUGAGCACCUACUGUACAAAUGGUAUGAAUUUUUGUUUCCAAUUGAUCUCUGGUGUGGAAAUUAAGUUUGACAUUAGGCCAAGGGCUUUUCACACCCUGUUCAAAAAAAAUUUAAGAUGACUUAUACCAGUCACACCUUCAACUGACUAGUCGAAGGUGUGACUUCUUCCCAAAUCUCCCUUUUCUCUUCUGGUAUUCAGCAGUCAGAAACACUUAAAACCAGUUGUUUAGAACUAAAGAAACAGAGUGUAAAGAGCAGGUAUAAAAGUAUGGUCCUGGCCCUACCAGGUUAUAUCUGAAAGGCUUUAGUGCCAUCACGCCACACAAAAAGAAAAUAAAUGGCAGUUAAAUGUGCUUGUUAAAUGUUUGCUUCUUCAUGCUUUGUUGCUUUGUAUUUAUAAUUGUAGUUUUUGUUUUGUUUGUUUUGUUAAUGAGACACAAACUUGCUGUGAAACCAGAUGAUUAUUUACUUUGUGGACGGCACUCGCACCAGGUCACAUCAGCAUGUGGAAGAGCAGAGCCUGCUUCCAGCCUGUUCCAUCUCUGGAACUGUUUAGAAAGCUAAAGAAAUGUUAAUUCAUUAAUCAAAUUAAUGUUAAAUUAAGUUAAUUAUUUAUUAAAGGAUAAUAUACAAUAGUAGCACAUAUUUAUUUUGAACUUAUGCUAAGACGUAAAGAUAUAUAUAAAAAUAAAUAUUAAUUUUAGAAUUAUAUUUUAGAUAGACAAACGUUUGGUUUCUAUUGCUAUCUACCCUAGAUAAAGCUUGAAGUUAGAAAAUGUUAGAGAUGAUCAAAAAAAAUGCCCCCAACCUCCUCAAAAUAUAAAUUAAAAUAAGAAAUCAUUUUAUUAUUAUUAUUAUUUACAAAUUUUGUCCCAGAAAUAUUUUGCCCCUGCUGCCUUCAAACCAACCACAAAGGAAUCUGAUGUUAGUGUAUAUUUAAUCUACUAGACAGAUUGUAAAUGUCCUAAGUAUUGUGCGUAGAAAAUUCAUUACUUGUCGUACAAGUUGAGAGAGUAAACAAAUAAUUUCAACACGUCCGCGUUGUCAAGGACCUACGUUUUGUUUGCUUUUGUACAAGGCAAAAAAACCUAACCCAACUUGACAGAGGAGAAAAUCAGUCUAUUUUUUUUCACAGUACCUGUGUGUAUAAGUGCUCAAAUAUGUACGCGUUAAAACCUCUAGCCUCUAGGUGUGUCUUUUCUGUGUUAACUUGACUUGACUUAUGUACUUUUUACUUUUUCUCAGUCGACCCGUGUCCCCAGAAGACCUGAGGAUCUCUGUGUUAUUCAUUGUCAUGAAUGGAAGACAAGAGCUUCAAAAGUCUUCCUCUAAUUAAAACUCGUGAUAUGCUUAUAUCACAGGUACUGCGUUUCUUUUGAAGGCGGUCCUAUGAGGUGCUAGAUUGCAGCCAGACCAGCUAGCAACACUGAGCCAUUUUAUCUUCAUUGGCUAAACCUUUCAAAGACUUUUUUUGUGUGUCUGAAAUUGAGUCACUGUUGUUUACGCUCGUGGGAAAACAUGAACUGUUGGUCUACUUUGCCUCCUUUAGUAAAUACGUAUGACUAAAGUAAAUCAGAACAUUUCAAAUGUUUUAUUCCCAAAAGACAGUUGUUGACGAACGCAGUAAUGCUUCGACAACCUGUGUGCACUAUAAUGUAAAACUGAUGAUUUUGUGGGAUAUGGAAAAGUAGGUAGUUGUUGGUAGGUGUUGGUUUUCUUGGUGAAAAAGUCUUUUCCACAUGUUUAGGUAUCAGUAGUUAUUUUUUUAAGAGGUUAUAACACAAAAGAUUUUUUGUAACGGAGCUAAUGUUACUCCUGACUUUGUCUUCUACUCUGUCCAUUGCAGUCACGUCUGCUUUGGAUCACAGUCACUAAAGUUCUUUCCUUAUAAACUAAUGAAGUUAUUAACAUCCAUUAUAAGCAUUUAUAUUGAUGUUGCCCAGAGGCAGUUAUCUCCUAAUUUGGUGACUUGAUCACAUGACCCAACAGAUAUUUAUAUUUAUGUUUUGAUGAAAUGAUAAACAACAUAAUAAUGAACCAGAUUAAAUAAUAAGCAGGUGCUGAAUAACAAACAAUAACAUGGGAUUGACAGAGAUGCCAACCAAUCAGGGCAGCUUUUGUGGUUGUUAAAAAAUAUUUAAUGAUGUUGAUAAUGUCAGUUUUAUUUUACAUGGCUUACAUAAUAUAUGUAGAUAAUAUAAUGACAGGUGCUUCUUCGACCCUUGGUUGGCUCAGUCCACCAGAGCAUCAGAUCUAGUCAAAGACGGGCUUCCUCUGACGUUACAUUAGACUACAACUGGACCCUGAAUUUGACAAAGCGUCGUCCAGGUUAAUUAAAGACCAAACUAGCCUUCACCUGGUUCUGGGGUCUGACCAGGGUAGGCCUCUCCCGGCCCUGAGUUGGAACUAUUUUUACCAUCUAAGAACUAGGACAUCUAAGCUGAAACUAUCAAAGUCUGAUCUUCUGAUCGUAUCUUAUGACUCACUUGUCCGAUCCAAGAGAACAGCAUAACGAGCAUUGUCCAUUGAUAAAAAAUAGAGUUUGUGUAAUGCACAGCUUUAACAUUUACUUUUAAUCUUUCUGUCUUUUAUGUUUUUAUGUCAGGUGACACCUGCCUCUGAUCUGGUGACAAAUUAACUUAACUGCAUGUAAUGAAGCCUUGAGGAUUUUGUCAGGAACGAGGUCGUCCUUCUGCAUUUCUGGCCAUCUCAAGUGACUCUGAAGAAGAAGAAGUGCUGCCAACUGUGUGCGCUCCCUGAAUCAAGAGGUGGAACAGGUUUGGCAGAAGUGAAGGCGGAUCCUGUUGGGAGUGAAGUUACUGACGAUCCCCUGGCCCUGCUCUGAUUACAGGCACAACAAAGUUCUACUUGCUCCACAAAGAGGAAACAAAGAGCAGAAACCAACCUGGAGCAGAGGAUGGUGUUGCUCACUGGACGCUUCAAUCAGACAUGUCCCGUGGCCUCCUGCAGCUGCUCCCUGAUGGCGUUCAGCUCCACCAAGGAGUCGUUCAGUUUAUUGGCCGCCGUCUUUAUCUCCCCCACGAUCUCCUUCUUGCAGCUCUUCUUCAGCUCCCUGGACUCUUUGAGGAAGUAGUUGUCCAUCCCGUUGAAGAGUCCCUGGACUAAAGUGACGGCGUCGUCCGCCACCUCCACUGCCUGCAUCACAGGUUUGUCCACCUGGCCGAUGAUCUGGACCGUUCUCCGGGUCUCCCAGUCCGAUGAGUAGUGCUGUGUGCCACAUCUGAGAUAGGGAUGACCACGGAGUUUGUACAAGCCCUUAUCAAUAAAGUGGAGGAUCUUCCCGAUGUCCAGCAGGUGGCCUUCAUAUUCCAGUAAAACUGCCUCGAUCUAAAGGAGGACCAAGACUUCAGUCAGUGGCUGUGACGAUUAUCAGAGAUGGCUGCAGAGGCUGACGUAAUCCCCCCGGCCGUGGCCACGCCCACACCCACAGCAGUGAUCAGCAGAGAGGUGCCAAAGGUAAUGGGGGCCAGAGCUAGGCCCACGAUGGCCGCCGC